rnacentral:lncRNA from 1 species
AGUACAAGAGGGGGUAAAUUAUUUAUUUUUAUAUUUUAAUAGCUACUAGUUGACUAGUUUUCUAAUUAGUCGACUAGAUGUAAUAACGAGAUAAUAAGAAAAGCAGAAAUUAAGAUGCAGAAAUAAAGUGCGGAAAUUAAAGACACCGAAAUUUUUAUACUUGUUCGGAUUCAAUGUGAAUCCUAGUCCAGUCCCCUUGGAUUGCAAGGGAGUUCUCUUUCAGUGAAUGAGUUUCUGGAGUACAAUCGUGAAUGGUGUGGUUUACACCAAUUGCUCGGUUUCUAUGUCACUCGUUUUUUUUUUAUACAAUGUCUCACCAGUAUUUUUCUCUCUUUUUUCUCUAACUUGUUACACAGCAGAUCUAAUAGAGCUACAAUAUUUGUUUGUAGUAGAACAAAGAGAGGGUAGUUGGUUCGAUCAAAGUAUAUUUUUCUAAGGCUUAAGGAUGUGUAUAAAUACUUUGUAAGAGGCCGUUGCUGAAGAGAUUUGCCAACCCAAGAGAUUUGAUCCUUGGAAAGAGAUUGAUUCUUUCCAAGAAUAAGGUUAUUUGCCGUUGCUCUUCCUUGAUGAAAUGACUUUAAUACCUUUCCUUCUAUAGGUCUUGAUAGCGCCGGAUUUACUCCUUGAUUUUUGGUCCUUCCAGUAAUAGCAACUUGAUUGAUCAUCUUGCAAGAUCUUCGAUACUUCUUUUCCGUUUCAAUCAAUCUCGGAUUGAUUUCCUUGUCUUUGAUUGAUUCCUUCAAUCUUGGAUGCUUUCCUUGAGUUCCUUUAAUUGAUUCCUCUAAUCUUGGAUGCUUUCCUCGAGUCCCUAUACCAAGAGAAAUUAUAUUAUUUUCAUCAAUAAAACUAAAAUCUAACAAAUGCCACGAGCCUUUACGGAGGGAACCGUAGAGCGCAGCGACUUUGAUUACUGGUUGAGCUGCCAUUGCCACUGCUGCUUGCUUUUCUACUCUGGAUAUUCUUUUUUCUUUUUCUGAAUUGUCACAUAAUAUUUUGAUGGCUUUUCAUCACAUACUUAUAUAGGAGAACUCAGAAGGCCUGACGGAUGCGAUGGCGAACCGUCAGAUUUAAAACUGAAAGGUACUGUUAGACUCUCAUCUUUCUCAUGAAUCAUUACAUCUUUUUUGGAUAGCUAUCAAUUUGAAAAGAAAAAAAAAACGUUAAUAGAUUAAUCCUUAAUUUCCAAUCCAUCAUAGAAUAACUAAAAUACAAAAUAAAGAUAGUUUUUUUUUUAAAAAGAAAGUGAUACUCAAAUUUCAAAUACAGAGCCCCGCGUUUAGCUAACCUAAAGUUUUUUUUAAAAAAGGAAAACUAAUCUAAAGGGUAUCAUCCACCACUUCUGUGUCCAAACAAAAAAAUUGUCGUGGAUGUGGCUAGGGGUGUCAAUGAAUAUUUAAAAAUCGACUAAACCGAUCGAACCGUACCGCACCGAAUCGUUUUUUAGGUUUUUUUAAAUAAAACCGUAUGUUUUAUAUAAAUCUAAUUGUACUGAUAAUUAGGGUAGGUUUUUAUUUUAUGAAAAUAAAUCGAAAAAAUACUGAAUCGUACCGAAUAAAUUUAUAUGUGAAAAAUAUAUUUAUAUAUUAAGUUUAAAAAUAAUAAAGCAUUAAAUUUCUCCUUUGGCCUUAAGAAUAAUGAAAACGGUUACAAGCCAACAAGUAAUUAAACUCGAAAUCCUAAUUUCCAUACCUAUUAUGCUACUCCUACUGAAACUAAACUAUUUUUAGCAUAUUCACUAGCAAGACACAAAGUAUUCUAGCGAUUAUGAGUAGCAAAUUGUAAUAUAUUGAAUAUGUUUCCUUUCGUAUGAUUUAGAUUUAUCUUUUUGAAUAUUUAAUCUUCUAUAGACUUUUUUCUUGAGUCCCAACUUGGUUAAUAUCUUUCCACUCGUGUGAUUUAUAUUUUCUUUGUCCCAGCUUAGUUUCUUUUACGCUGUUGUAGAAUAGUUAAUGAAUCUAUACUCUGACCAUCUUUCAUAUUUUCUCAAUUCAUCACUCUUUAAACAGUAAAAAUGUCUGGACAGUUUUGCUAAGUCAUAUAAAAGUAUGUAUGUUAUUGCGUUCUACUUCUACUAGUGACUUUUACAUGAUAUUUAAAAAAAUACCAAAAUUUAACUGAACCGUACCGAUACCAUAGAGAAACCGACAUAAUUGGGACGGUUUCAAAAAGUCUAAUUUUGGUUAUACAUAAUAGACUAACCGAAAAAUUAGUAUGGUACAAAUUUUAUAAAAUAACCGGCUCAACCGCCUUAGAUGUGGCUACAUUAGUUACCCAUAUGUGAUUGUCCUUUGACACCUAAUGUUUGAUUAAAUGGGCAUGCAAUGAAAACAUAUGUCAAUGUCAUGACAGAGGUUAAAGUUAGGUUCAAUCAGCUGGAGAGGUUAUUCGUAUUUUCCAUACUAUAUGGCCAUCGACAAGUUCGUUAUCUGGCUGUUUGGACAGGAAAAUAAGGAAAAGAAACAAACUCCAUUUUCUUUAGAUCAAACAGCUGAAAGAAUUGAAGGAAAAAGAAAAGUACAAGAAAAACAACUACGUACAAUUUACCAUGAAUACCCCCAUAAAGUGAAAAAGAAUAUUGGUCAGCUAUUGGAAUCAUGAUCUCCAAGCCAGCCAAUAGGAGCUACAAAGUAAAUUAAGAUUUAUUAGAAUGAGUUGGAGAAAAAAGGAUGCGUAAAGAUGUAUAUAGGUUUACCAAAUGGAUUUAUUAUAGUCACGGCCUACUCCACCUAUAGGUUAUAACCUUAAAUUUUGGUGUGCAUGCUCAAAUAUUUCACAUUCCAGAGCUAAACUUUGGUAAACUUAUUCUCUCAUUUGUAAGUCAUAGCCAGAUUUUUCUUAGCUCUCGUUCCUUCUCCCUUAAGUCCGUUUUCGCUGUUGUUCCCUCUCCACAUCUAGCCAAUUGUGCAUUGUCUCUGCCUACUCCAUUGCUCUAGACUUCUCUCUUUCAAUUAUGCACAUUGAGCCACUUGCUCUACUCCAAGCCCAUUUUUACUCAUUAAGCUAACUCUCUCUCCUCCAAGUCUACCUUCAGCUUGCUGAGCCACUCCAGGCUCCUUAGAAUCAAGCAGGUGAGCAACAAAAAUCAAUAAAAAGAAGAAAAAAUACAUGACUACACCUUUAACCCAAGAGCAGGGUUAUGUUAGAGAUAUAUCAUGUCCUGCAUAGGUAGUUUAAAGGCUUCUACAAGAUUUAUAUAUCAAAAGAAACCAAAUUCCUAAACCAUUGGAGUGUCUUGUGAAGAUAACACUAAUAUGAAUACUGAAGCUACACAUUAUCAAUCUGAAGUGUCAAAGAUGUGAAAACAAAAAAUGACAUGACAAUGAAUUACAGUAAUAAUAAGAAUAAAGUCUAUGAUUAGAGCAAAGUCUCCUAGAUAAAUUGAUUAAAUGAUCGGCGUCAAUGGCCAAAGGUUCACAUUUGGAUCAUAAAUGAUGAUAUGGAUAAAAAUCAUUAAAAUGGAACAAACAUGCCAUGAACCACUGCUAGUUCUCAGGGAUCGGCAUUGUAGAUUUUGUAGGAGGUGAAGAGCAAUGGAGGAAAGGAGCAACAUUAAAGAAUUGCAGACAUUUAGCUUUUUUACCCUUCCAAUUGAUGCUUGACUGGGGAUAUAACAGCAAGCAAGGGCAGCUUCGGGGAACAUAACAUAGGUUUUUGAUGCCUCAAUUCUUCAACGAUGAUUAAAAUUACUCACCUUCAGCAAAUGGUCCUAUGCAUUAGAAAAUCCUCAUAUCAAAUCCCUAUGAAAUGUUAAUAGACGUAAACUACUAUUAAAUUACUCAAGCUUCAGCAAAUCGUCCCUUACUUGUUACAGAAUCCUCAUCUCAAUUCUCUAAGAACCAAAUUUGCCUCGCUUAAAGAGAACCUAACAAGCCGUUAUUUUUGCAUUUGAAGAAUGAGUAUUUAAGAGUUGAAGUUUGGUAAUUGCACGUCUGGAAGGUAAGUUACUUCAAGUGUUAUACAAAAAGUGAACCACACAAUGGAUAUUCCCUCUCAAAAUUAAAUGCAAAGGCUAGAGGCAUGAUGGACCAGGAUCAACCAGAACUUCAGAAACUGUCAUAGUAAAAAUUUAAACAGAGAUGGUAGUAUACCUCAGAGCUGUCUCUCUACCAUGUCGUACCUUCUAAAUAUUCUAGCCCAUGAUUUAUAUUUGCCCUUUUAGGCUAUCCCAGCUUCUUAAUAUUGCUGCAGUGAACUUUGAGCAGACUGGUUUUGCACUCUUAACUCAAGGAAUGCCUAUUUAGUAACCCACCAUCAAUAGCAAUGACUCAGAGAAAAUUAGUUGUCAAAAAGGAUAUAGUUCUAAUAAUAUAGAUAUGUUGAGGCACUUAACAACUUUAAGAAUUUUAACUAGCUCAUGAUUGAGGAGAAGUGCAGUAAUGGCAUCAAUACCAUUUUUCCCUUAAGAAACAUUUGGAUGCUGGGAAUGGGAUCUUCGAAUGAACAACGUUGAAGCCAGUUGUUCAUAAAAUAUGAUAGGUUGUGAUAGUUAACAGGUUCAUGUGAAAGAACAUUCAGAUUUUUCUUACCAAAAUGAAAAGCACUAAAUCAAGGCACAGAAACAUUACCUGUGCACCAAAGAGGUGAGUACCGGCACGUUAAUGAUGGAUCUAUCUGCUGCUCGUAACAUUAAUAUCUCUGAAGCUUCAAGCAGCAAGGAUUGAAUUACAGUGCCUCACAUCUUAUGAUCAUGUUUCUUAUCUUUAGUGUAAGUGAUGGAGUAAUAUCUUGAAAAAUAAAAUUUCUCCCUUACUUUUCCUUUCCCAAAUUUUCAGCAAAGCAGGUAACCACCAGAGCUCAUGUUAAUUGUUAAAUUAGAAACUGUUAUACAUGGUUACAACUUAUUUCAAUUAUGUCAAGAUAAUGCAUCAGCUACAAGAAAGUAUGAGCAUUCAAUUUGAAAUAUGUAUCCGGCAUCCUUCAUUGGAUCUACAAGUUUAAGAAGCAACUCUUUUAUUUCUUCUAACCGACUGUGGGACUUGUCUUUAGUGAUAAACUUAUGUCUGAUAUUUUUUAUCUCAAUCCAACUAUAAGCUGCUUCUUUCACCAAUCCUCUGUCAUCCAUGUACCUUCGCAGACUACGGGCAUCAUCCCACCUUCCUGCUGCUGCAUAGAUGUUGGAUAACAUAAUAUACCUGGCAGCAUUAUCAGGUUCUAGCUCAAAUAGAUCUUCUGCUGCCCUUCUAGC